rnacentral:lncRNA from 1 species
AAAGAUUGACCAGUGGUUUUAUUGUCAACAACCAAAGAGCACAGCAUAAAGCACAACUCUUAGAAAUUGCACGGGACGCCCUAAUUUAACCUAUACAAACAAGCAAUUGACUAAGUUGUCAAGCAAGAUAACGACCAUCCCGUAUGCCAUAUUUGAUUUUCCUUUGCCUUUUUAAAUAUUAAUUCUUCUACUGUCUUCCUAUAAAUCUGUGUCUUCACUUGAUAGAGAAGAGUAUAAAAACAAGAAGAACAAAGACUGAAGAAUAUGAUGACUGAUAACUGAUUACAUCAUAACUGUGGUUUUUUCUUCAGCAACCGCUUUUGCUUACUAAAUGAUUAUUCACCUUCUUACCGGAAUUACUGGUUCUAUUCUUUUGCCAAUUACAGAAAGUACAAGCUACCCUGGUCACAUAUUAUACCUUUUCCCAAGAUAAGUGAUCUUGCAACCACUCAAGAAUUCCCUCCUGGAAAACAAGUUUUGGCAGUUUACCCAGGAACCACAGCCCUGUAUAAAGCCACAGUAGUCCAGGCUCGCAAGGUACCUGUAUGUGUACUGAGGAACUGAUUGGGUUUUGACUUAUUUGCAUGUGAUCUAGAGCUGAAGUUACAACACAAAGUUUCUCAGUUACAACACAAAAACUAACUGGGAAACUUCAGCUCUAGAGCUGAACUUUGCUACUUCAGCCCCGUGUGCUGAAGUUAUGCGAAAAAGCGCAUACGCUUGCAAUUGUUUUUGCAAAGCGGGCACAAGUUAAAAUGUGACACAAAAAGCGGGUAUAGAUGCAAAUGGCCCGCACAACUCUACGAGAACGCCAACAACAAUGAUGGCCCAGUAAAAUCCUACAAACUCUACAAGAACGCGAACUCCACGAAAUAAGCUUGAAGAUGCCCUGGAAUACACUUGGGCUUAACUCAGUCACCCCCCAAACCCAAAAUAAAAGCUGUGAAAUAAAUGUAUUCUAUCAAUUACAUUUUCCCACUUUAUUAGCUAGUAAAGCAGCUUUUACCAUUUUACAGAAGAAAUUAUCAACAAUCUUUACUCGUUACGAAAACCUUGGUAUUACACUUUAAGGAACCUGUCAAACCAAUUGCUCGCUUCCUUCACCAUCAAUGGAGUCAUUUUAUGUCCAAUACCAUCUUGCGCUAUCACCUGAAAUGUAAAGGAAAACAGACAUUUCAGGAAUGGCAUGAAAACUGGUCAUCUAAAGCCCCAUCCCCCCACCCCACCCCUACCCCUGCCACUACCACCCUCCCUCGCCCUUACCCAUUUCGUCUCCCGUAGUGUUUGCCUAAAUUAUAUAUUUUUCAAAAAAUAUUUUUUGCUACCUAAUAUUCUACAUAGCCAAACACCAGAAAAUAAGUAAGAAAGCCACUUAUUUUUCAAGAAAAUAUUUUCGAGGACAAUAUUUUCCUUCCUACCAAACACGCCCCUUGUUUUCCCCCUUUGAACCCUUGGAAUCAAAAUUAGCUGAUGGUGAAGAAAGGAAACAUGCUUUGUUUUCCUGAAAAAAUGAGGGAGGCAGUGAGGAUAUCAUCGUACCUUGAAAUUAAGUGGACAACCAGCAUUCUCAUAAGCUU